CUGCAGCCGGCACACCACAUUCCCCCAACCCCACCCCGCUGAAUUUCCACGUGCAAUAGCCCCGCCCUGCCAGGGAGGACGGGCCCUUCUCCACAUCCUGACUCUGCUUCUAGAAGGAAACCAAGGGCUUCCAGGAAGCCUCAAGUUUUUAGUCCUGAGCCCUUAUGCUUUAAAAAGUCCUCACAGAACCACCUGCACCCUGACCCACACUGGACGCGCGCAGCCCGGCCCAUGAUGGGAGGACUGGGGACACUUGUGCUGGCGCCGGGGCUGCAUUCACGGUAACCAGCCGGGCUCAGCCGCACCGCGGGCCCCAGGGCCAUGCCCCAGAGGAGGACUGGGCCACUGACCCUCCGGAGCAGCUGGCUGGCUUUGCUGAGCGAACAGUUUCCACUGGGCCAGGGACUUGCUCUAGCGACCAUCGCCUAAGCUGCUGUGCAAAGCUCCGCAAAGGAAGCACGCUGUGAAGGCAGGCCCCAGUCCCUCUCUACAUCCGCCCCCAGGCAGCAUCUGCUCAGAAGUGCCAAUCCAGCCGGAACACGGAAGCUACAGCUCCGGGAGCAGCUGCUGAUUUGACAGACUUCUCACAGCAGUUCAUCCAAAAAAGUGCUCUGAAAAUCUGUCUUUGAAGAUUUGGGGAUCUAUCUCAUCUGCUUCCCACAUACCUGGAGUCAGUGAGGCCCCACUAUGAGCUUUGUGCCCGGACAGAGUCCACUGGGGGUGAGACCACGACUGCCCGAAAGAGCUGGCAGCAGGAGGACCCAUCUCCACCAGCAGAGGGCGCUGGGCCCCUCCCAGGCCCCCCAGGUCCACAGGGGCCUGGAAACCUCAGCAGGUGGCAUCAGGAGCCUCAGCUUUAGGGUCUGCGGGGUCAAAGUGCUCGCAUUGCUGUCAUCCCCCAGUGUCUGGUGCAGAGUCCGACAGGGCCUUCUGGACCUCAGGAGUACCCUCUCAUCAACUAAAUGAGAAUGGAGGUAUCUCCACUUUUGGAACAACAAGCUUCUAAAAGCCAGACUGGAGUUCAGGGCCCAGACCAAACUGAAACGGGCUUUGCUUCAAGCGUCAGCAUUUGGAACCAGCAUCUGAAACUGCUGCUCUUGCUUUAGUAACCAGCAAGGAGGGCCACAGUGACCUCAGGGCCGCUUCCUGCUGAGCGCAGGCUGGGAGUGACCGUCCAGACGUUGGACGGAGGGACGAAGACCUCUGGGCAGGAGCCCUUUGGCCGAGGUGGCUGCAGUGGGCAGGAAGAGCGCCAGCAUCCAAGGGCCUGGAACCUGUGCUUGCGGGGCCCCGUGCCUCUGCUCGGCACUCUGCUCGAGUUUGCUUAAGAGGAUAAAUCCCCUUAAGAAAUCCCAGAGACCCAUGAGGGGCAAGUAGAAUAAACCACCCAAGGAUGCAGAUGCCUCAGG